GAUGAAGAACGUAGCGAAAUGCGAUAAGUAGUGUGAAUUGCAGAAUUCAGUGAACCAUCGAAUCUUUGAACGCACAUUGCGCCCGCUGGAACUCCGGCGGGCACGCCUGUCCGAGCGUCAUUUCAACCCUCAGGCCCCCCUUCGCGGGCGGGCCUGGUGUUGGGGCCCGGCCGCUACCCUGCGGCCGUCCCCUAAAUUCAGUGGCGGCCUCGCCGUGAUCCCUUGCGUAGUAAUGCACCUCGCACCGGAGAGCGCCGUGGCCACGCCGUAAAACCCCCAAUUUUCAAUGGUUGACCUCGGAUCAGGUGGGAAUACCCGCUGAACUUAAGCAUAUCAAUAAGCGGAGGA
rnacentral:misc_RNA from 1 species